UACAGAGGUCCCAAGCGUUGUUCGGAUUCAUUGGGCGUAAAGCGCACGUAGGCGGACUCUUAAGUCGGUGGUGAAAUCCUGGAACUCAACUCCAGAACUGCCUCCGAUACUGAGAGUCUUCGAGUCCGGGAGAGGUGAGUGGAACUGCGAGUGUAGAGGUGAAAUUCGUAGAUAUUCGCAAGAACACCAGUGGCGAAGGCGGCUCACUGGCCCGGUACUGGACGCUGAGGUGCGAAAGCGUGGGGAGCAAACAGG
rnacentral:rRNA from 1 species